rnacentral:rRNA from 1 species
CCUACGGGUGGCUGCAGUGGGGAAUAUUGGACAAUGGGCGAAAGCCUGAUCCAGCCAUGCCGCGUGUGUGAAGAAGGCCUUCGGGUUGUAAAGCACUUUCAGUGGGGAAGAAAGCCUUGGGGCUAAUACCCUCGAGGAAGGACAUCACCCACAGAAGAAGCACCGGCUAACUCCGUGCCAGCAGCCGCGGUAAUACGGAGGGUGCGAGCGUUAAUCGGAAUUACUGGGCGUAAAGCGCGCGUAGGCGGUCUGAUAAGCCGGUUGUGAAAGCCCCGGGCUCAACCUGGGAACGGCAUCCGGAACUGUCAGGCUAGAGUGCAGGAGAGGAAGGUAGAAUUCCCGGUGUAGCGGUGAAAUGCGUAGAGAUCGGGAGGAAUACCAGUGGCGAAGGCGGCCUUCUGGACUGACACUGACGCUGAGGUGCGAAAGCGUGGGUAGCAAACAGGAUUAAUACCCCGGUAGUC